CCUGUAUACCUGUUGUUAUGCCUUGAAGAUCUAUGUGUAAAUUUAUAUCGUGUAUAUAAUACAUGCGCGUGCCCCUGCCUGCCCCAGUCUCACCUUCACUGAGCACAUAGGCCUACAUAUCCGCGAAAAGCAUCGACAAAAAGGGGAAGGCAAGCGUCUUGUAUGGUUGAUGUACUAUUGUGUUUAUCUCUGAUCAUCCCUUCUGUAUAUGUUAACCUGGAGAAACUAUAUCUAUACCAAUCCAUCCGUGAUUAUCCCGGCACGCCAGGCGGGAAUAGAAGACUCUACAAGACAGUUUGACCAUGAGGCCGAAGAAGUACAAAUUCAACCUUGAGGAAGCAGAAUCCAAUGGAUAUGGCACAUAUUCAUCGUUAGAGGGCCUCAAUGGGGAGCCAAAGACUUCCUGUAACAAACGCUGGGUCAUUGGGAUUAUUGCUGUCAUCGCUCUGGUAGCCCUGGCAUUGGCUAUUGGGCUGGGAGUGCAUUAUGGAAAUCAGACAAAAGGCAGUUCCUCGACAGA